UGCGCCUUGCCAGCCCGCUCAGAAACUUAAAUGAAUUGACGGGGGCCCGCACAAGCAGCGGAGCAUGUGGUUUAAUUCGAAGCAACGCGAAGAACCUUACCAAGACUUGACAUCCCCUGACAGCUGUUGAAAGGCAGUGUCUCUUCGGAGCAGGGAGACAGGUGGUGCAUGGUUGUCGUCAGCUCGUGUCGUGAGAUGUUGGGUUAAGUCCCGCAACGAGCGCAACCCUUAUCCUUAGUUACCAGCACGUAAAGGUGGGGACUCUAGGGAGACCGCCGGGGACGACUCGGAGGAAGGUGGGGACGACGUCAAAUCAUCAUGCCCCUUAUGUCUUGGGCUACACACGUGCUACAAUGGCCGCAACAGAGGGAAGCGAGAGCGCAAGCUGGAGCAAAACCCUAAAAAGCGGUCCCAGUUCGGAUUGUGGGCUGCAACCCGCCCACAUGAAGUCGGAGUUGCUAGUAAUCGCGAAUCAGCAUGUCGCGGUGAAUGCGUUCCCGGGCCUU
rnacentral:rRNA from 1 species